AUACGUAGGGGGCGAGCGUUGUCCGGAAUGAUUGGGCGUAAAGGGCGCGUAGGCGGCCCGGUAAGUCUGGAGUGAAAGUCCUGCUUUUAAGGUGGGAAUUGCUUUGGAUACUGUCGGGCUUGAGUGCAGGAGAGGUAAGUGGAAUUCCCAGUGUAGCGGUGAAAUGCGUAGAGAUUGGGAGGAACACCAGUGGCGAAGGCGACUUACUGGACUGUAACUGACGCUGAGGCGCGAAAGUGUGGGGAGCAAACAGGAUUAGAUACCCUGGUAGUCCACACUGUAAACGAUGAAUGCUAGGUGUAGGGGGUAUCGACCCCUUCUGUGCCGCAGUUAACACAAUAAGCAUUCCGCCUGGGGAGUACGGCCGCAAGGUUGAAAAUCAAAUGAAUUGACGGGG
rnacentral:rRNA from 1 species